rnacentral:misc_RNA from 1 species
GAUGAAGAACGCAGCGAAAUGCGAUAAGUAAUGUGAAUUGCAGAAUUCAGUGAAUCAUCGAAUCUUUGAACGCACAUUGCGCCCGCUAGUAUUCUGGCGGGCAUGCCUGUCCGAGUGUCAUUUCAACCCUCAAGCCCCCGGGCUUGGUGUUGGGGAUCGGCGAGCCUCCGCGCCCGCCGUCCCCUAAAUCUAGUGGCGGUCUCGCUGUAGCUUCCUCUGCGUAGUAGCACACCUCGCACUGGGAAACAGCGCGGCCACGCCGUUAAACCCCCAACUUCUGAACGUUUGACCUCGGAUCAGGUAGGAAUACCCGCUGAACUUAAGCAUAUCAAUAAGCGGAGGA